rnacentral:tRNA from 1 species
GGGGCCGUAGCUCAACCGGGAGAGCACCUGCCCUGCAAGCAGGCGGUUGUCGGUUCGAAGCCGACCGGCUCCA